AGGAUGAACGCUGGCGGCGUGCCUAACACAUGCAAGUCGAGCGAACCCUUCGGGGUGAGCGGCGGACGGGUGAGUAACGCGUGGGUAACCUGCCCUGUACACACGGAUAACAUACCGAAAGGUAUGCUAAUACGAGAUAAUAUAUUUUAAUCGCAUGGUUAAGAUAUCAAAGCUCCGGCGGUACAGGAUGGACCCGCGUCUGAUUAGCUAGUUGGUGAGGUAAUGGCUCACCAAGGCGACGAUCAGUAGCCGACCUGAGAGGGUGAUCGGCCACACUGGAACUGAGACACGGUCCAGACUCCUACGGGAGGCAGCAGUGGGGAAUAUUGCACAAUGGGCGAAAGCCUGAUGCAGCAACGCCGCGUGAGCGAUGAAGGCCUUCGGGUCGUAAAGCUCUGUCCUCAAGGAAGAUAAUGACGGUACUUGAGGAGGAAGCCCCGGCUAACUACGUGCCAGCAGCCGCGGUAAUACGUAGGGGGCUAGCGUUAUCCGGAAUUACUGGGCGUAAAGGGUGCGUAGGUGGUUUCUUAAGUCAGAGGUGAAAGGCUACGGCUCAACCGUAGUAAGCCUUUGAAACUGGGAAACUUGAGUGCAGGAGAGGAGAGUGGAAUUCCUAGUGUAGCGGUGAAAUGCGUAGAUAUUAGGAGGAACACCAGUUGCGAAGGCGGCUCUCUGGACUGUAACUGACACCGAGGCACGAAAGCGUGGGGAGCAAACAGGAUUAGAUACCCUGGUAGUCCACGCCGUAGACGAUGAAUACUAGGUGUAGGGGUUGUCAUGACCUCUGUGCCGCCGCAAACGCAUUAAGUAUUCCGCCUGGGGAGUACGGUCGCAAGAUUAAA
rnacentral:rRNA from 1 species